rnacentral:rRNA from 1 species
AGCCGUAGGGAAACCGAGUCUGAAUAGGGCGAUUAGUUGCAUGUCGUAGACCCGAAACGGGAUGAGCUUACCAUGGGCAGGUUGAAGCGAGGGUAAAACCUCGUGGAGGACCGAACCCGUUAAGGUUGAAAACUUUUGGGAUGACCUGUGGUAAGGGGUGAAAGGCCAAUCAAAUUCCGUGAUAGCUGGUUCUCUCCGAAAUGCAUUUAGGUGCAGCGUCUAAUGAAUACCGUCGGGGGUAUAGCACUGAAUUGGCUAGGGGGCUUACCGGCUUACCAAACCAUAUCAAACUCAGAAUACCGACGAGUACUGUUAGGCAGUGAGACUGCGGAUGCUAAGGUCCGUAGUCGAAAGGGAAAGAGCCCAGACCAUCAGCUAAGGUCCCUAAAUCGUGUCUAAGUGGCGAAGGUUGUGGAACUACUUUGACAUCCAGGAGGUUGGCUUAGAAGCAGCCAUCCUUGAAAGAGUGCGUAAUAGCUCACUGGUCAAGUGAUUCCGCGCCGAUAAUGUAGCGGGGCUUAAGUUAUCCGCCGAAGCUGUGGCAACCUGUGUGGUUGGGUAGGGGAGCGUCGUGUCAGUGGUGAAGCUGCCGGGUGACUGUGUGGUGGAGUUGAUGCGAGUGAGAAUGCAGGCAUGAGUAGCGUGUGACGGGUGGGAAUCCCGUCCGCCGAUUAUCCAAGGGUUCCAGGGUCAAGUUUGUCUGCCCUGGGUGAGUCGGGUCCUAAGGCGAGGCCGACAGGCGUAGUCGAUGGGUAACCAGUUGAUAUUCUGGUACCGGCUUGUCACCGUCCGUGUCGAGGUGUGUGAUGCUAAGCAUGUGAGCUUGUCUUGGGAGUGUUUUUGAUGCUUCUGGGGUGGGUGAGUGUGUGAACCGAUCAUGUAGUAGGCAAGCUGCGGAGGGACGCAGUGAGGUAGCUCAUCCCCGGUGAUGGUUGUCCGGGGCUAAGUGUGUGGACUGUCUGGUAGGUAAAUCCGCUGGGCGUGAAGGUUGAGGCAUGAUGGGGAGCCCACGGUUGUGGGUGAGUGAGUGAUCCUGUACUGUCGAGAAAAGCUUCGUGAGCGAGGUGGCGGGUCCGCCCGUACCCUAAACCGACACUGGUGGAUAGGUAGAGUAUACCGAGGCGAUCGAGUGAAUCGUGGUGAAGGAACUCGGCAAAAUGCCCCCGUAACUUUGGGAUAAGGGGGACCUGAGCUGUCGUGCACCCGUGCGGUGUGGUGGCGGUGAGGGGCGCAGAGUCCAGGGGGAAACGACUGUUUACCAAAAACACAGGUCCGUGCGAAGUCGUAAGACG